rnacentral:rRNA from 1 species
ACUCCUACGGGAGGCAGCAGUGGGGAAUAUUGCACAAUGGGGGAAACCCUGAUGCAGCAACGCCGCGUGGAGGAUGACGCAUUUCGGUGUGUAAACUCCUUUUAUAUGGGAAGAUAAUGACGGUACCAUAUGAAUAAGCACCGGCUAACUCCGUGCCAGCAGCCGCGGUAAUACGGAGGGUGCAAGCGUUACUCGGAAUCACUGGGCGUAAAGCGCGCGCAGGCGGGCUAAUAAGUUGGAUGUGAAAGCCUACGGCUCAACCGUAGAACUGCAUCCAAAACUGUUAGUCUAGAGUCUGGGAGGGGAAGAUGGAAUUAGUUGUGUAGGGGUAAAAUCCGUAGAGAUAACUAGGAAUACCAAAAGCGAAGGCGAUCUUCUGGAACAGUACUGACGCUGAGGCGCGAAAGCGUGGGGAGCAAACAGGAUUAGAUACCCUGGUAGUCCACGCCCUAAACGAUGAAUGUUAGUCGUUGGAGUCCUAGUGACUUCAGUGAUGCAGCUAACGCAUUAAACAUUCCGCCUGGGGAGUACGGUCGCAAGAUUAAAACUCAAAGGAAUAGACGGGGACCCGCACAAGUGGUGGAGCAUGUGGUUUAAUUCGAAGAUACGCGAAGAACCUUACCUGGCCUUGACAUUGAUGGAACCCGCUAGAGAUAGUGGGGUGCCCUUCGGGGAGCCUGAAAACAGGUGCCGCACGGCUGUCGUCAGCUCGUGUCGUGAGAUGUUGGGUUAAGUCCCGCAACGAGCGCAACCCUCGUCACUAGUUACUAACGGUUCGGCCGAGGACUCUAGUGAGACUGCCUUCGCAAGGAGGAGGAAGGUGAGGACGACGUCAAGUCAUCAUGGCCCUUACGGCCAGGGCAACACACGUGCUACAAUGGGUAGGACAAUGAGACGCGAUACCGCG